AGUUGACUCGGUUGGUAAGGAGCAAUGAAAACGCGAAUAACUAAACCACAGCGUCACCUGUAGCUGUUGUUAUCUUUCUUGAAGCGUGGUGCACUCGACUCGUGAUCUGAUGUUAAAAGGUCACGAUUUGCAUAGGAAUUUUUGAUCGAAGUAACACAGUUAUGAGGUGAAAGAAGUAGGCCUACGUUUACAGUAUCCGUGGUUUCUGCACGCAGACGUAUAAGUGGGGAAAUAAUAAUGGAGAACAGCUGUGCUAAAAUACCCGAAAUGCAUAUGCAUGGAGGAGAGAAGCCAAUGGAAUGUGUAAUCUCUGGAAAUGAGAUGGACAACUGUGAUAUCAACCUAUUCUCUGCCCUGAAUUCCUCUUUGGAGGAUGUUUCUGAUGAAGAGAUAUCAACCAAGAAAGAAAGACACUGGAGGCUUGGGCCAGAAGACCUUAACGAUACGCUUUUGUAUGACUUCUCCGGGUUUGAGAUAUUCAAAGGCCUGGAACAAAUGGAGAGCAGAGAGAAGGCCUGCUGAGUGCUGUGGUUUUAGGGUUAAGUGUUUGGUAUCACAGACUUGGGGGGGGGGGGGAAGGCAAAGGAAGAAGCAUUAAACUUUAAUGUAAAUAUAAGUUUAGAAUAUUGCUGCACCUUCAGAAAAGGUUAGCUUGUUUUUUGUUUUUAAACAUGAACAUUUAUCAGUGUAUAAUUUAUAAUAAAGAUAUGUUGUUUAUA